AGGGUCAGCGACUGGGGUGAAGUCGUAACAAGGUAGCCGUAGGGGAACCUGCGGCUGGAUCACCUCCUUUCUAAGG
rnacentral:rRNA from 7 species